rnacentral:rRNA from 1 species
UACGAAGGGGGCGAGCGUUGUUCGGAUUUACUGGGCGUAAAGAGCGCGUAGGCGGCCCUGUAAGUCCGCUGUGAAAGUCAAGGGCUCAACCCUUGGAUGCCGGUGGAUACUGCAGGGCUAGAGUCCGGAAGAGGCGAGUGGAAUUCCUGGUGUAGCGGUGGAAUGCGCAGAUAUCAGGAGGAACACCAAUAGCGAAGGCAGCUCGCUGGGACGGUACUGACGCUAAGGCGCGAAAGCGUGGGGAGCGAACAGG